rnacentral:tRNA from 2 species
GGCCCCGUAGCUCAAUUUGGCAGAGCAAGCGACUCUUAAUCGUUAGGUUGAAGGUUCGAGUCCUUCCGGGGUCA